rnacentral:rRNA from 1 species
ACUCCUGCGGGAGGCAGCAGUGGGGAAUAUUGGACAAUGGGCGCAAGCCUGAUCCAGCCAUGCCGCGUGAGUGAUGAAGGCCCUAGGGUUGUAAAGCUCUUUCACCGGUGAAGAUAAUGACGGUAACCGGAGAAGAAGCCCCGGCUAACUUCGUGCCAGCAGCCGCGGUAAUACGAAGGGGGCUAGCGUUGUUCGGAUUUACUGGGCGUAAAGCGCACGUAGGCGGACUAUUAAGUCAGGGGUGAAAUCCCGGGGCUCAACCCCGGAACUGCCUUUGAUACUGGUAGUCUUGAGUUCGAGAGAGGUGAUUGGAAUUCCGGGUGUAGAGGUGAAAUUCGUAGAUAUUCGGAGGAACACCAGUGGCGAAGGCGGCUCACUGGCUCGAUACUGACGCUGAGGUGCGAAAGCGUGGGGAGCAAACAGGAUUAGAAACCCGAGUAGUCCCAUGA